rnacentral:tRNA from 1 species
GCUUGGGUGGCUCAGCUGGUUGAGUGUCUGCCUUCAGCUCAGGUCAUGAUCCCAGCGUUGUGGGAUCGAGUCCCACACUGGGCU